AGCUGCUAACCAAAGGGUUGUAAACUCUAUGGGGCAGUUCUACCCUGUCCUGUCGAGUCGCUGUGAGUCAGAGUCAACUCGACAGCAACAGAUUACAAACAAGUCUGUCUUGGAAAAAGUACAACUAGAAUGCUCCUUAGAGGAAAGGAUGGCAAGACUUUGUUUCACAUACCUUGGACAUGUUACCAGGAGGGAUCAGUCCCUGGAGAAGGACAUCAUGGAGGAAGACCAUCAAUGAAACAGAUUGACACAGUGGCUUCAACAAUGGGCUCAAGCAUAACAAUUAGAUCCCUGGCUCUGGUAGGUUCCUUGAUCUGUUGUCACGGCUUACCCCGUCCCAUAUCCGGCACCCCCACAGUACCUUCCUGAGAAUGAGGUUGAGAUCUGCACACAGAAUUUCCAGAGUGUGGAAUUUCAACAGGGAAAACUGCAAUGGAGUUGAAACUCAUCUCAUGCAAACUUCUCAGGUGAAGGGGGAUUCGACAACUGAGACUUCACUAAUAAGUGACAAAAAUUAUGUGGGUUCUCUGGUAAGACCACCAACAUUCUUCAGACAUUAGUGAAAUAAAACAGGAGGAGGAGUUUGAGCAUUGAAUUCUCAGUCUACACAUUUUGGAUUGAAGAUAUAAGAGGCAGAGAAUGGAUUCGGAGGAGCUUAUAAAAUAAUGGAACCAAGGCAGAGCUGAUAGGAGGCAGAAAGGAAGAUCCUAGAUCUAGAGAUGGGUCUGUCUACAGAAGGUCAAGAUGAUGAUGAACCUCAUACAAUUGGAAAACUUGAUAUUCCUGGUAAGGAAAAACAUGGCAGAGAGUCUCUCAGUGGGCAUCACAGGUCUGCCUAAAAAGUCUUCCACUGAAUGCAAGGAAUAAAAAGAAUAUUUUUUUUUAAUCAAGAGAAUUUAUUUCAAGAAUUAAGAUUACUACCAACUCACACUCACGAGGAUAGCUAUUAGGAGGAAAAAAACUAAUAAGGAUAGGGAGGAUCUGGAGAAACUGGAGCCCCCAGGUACUGCUGGGGGGAAUAUAAAAUGGUGCAGCCACUAUGGAAAAGAAUUUGGCAGUUCUCAAAAGCAGAAUUACCAUAUGACUCAGCAAUUCCACUUCAAGGCCAUUACCCAAGAGACUUGAAAGCAGAUUCUGAAAUAGAUGUGUGUACACCAAUAUUCAUUGCACUGUUCAACCUAAGUCUCCAUCAAUAGAAGAAUGGAUAAAUAAAAUAUGAUAUAUCCAUACAAUGGAGUAUUAUUCAGCCAUAAAUAGAAAUGAAAUUCUGAUAUCUGUUACCAUAGGGAUGAACCUUGAAAACAUUACGGUGAGUGAAUAAGACACAAAAGGACAAAUAUUGUAUGACCCCAAAAUAUGAAGUAUCCAGGAUAGACAAAUGCAUAGAGACAAAAGUUUAUUAGUGGUUACCAGGGUCUGGGAGGGUAAGGCGAAUGGAGAGUCAUUAAUGAAGGGAUACUGAGUUUUGUUUUGGGGUAAUAAAAAAACUUUUGGAAAUGGGUAGUGAUGAUGGUAGCACAACGUGACGAAUGUAAUUAAUAUCACUGACUUGUACGCUUAAAAAUGGCUAAAAUGGCAAACUGUGAUAUAUAUUUUUUUACCACAAUUAAAAAAAAAAAAAGUAAAUUAAAACAUUGAAAAAAAAAAAAAAGAAAGAAUUAAGUUUGGUAGACCUGGAAUCUUAAUGAUCAAAUUAAAGGAAAUACUUCCCCACGAACGAUUUGGCUACACACCUGUAUGAAGACAUGGAUAAUGUAGUCCACCUUCCUUUGCAGCAUGUUACAUGUAGCCUGGGAUUAAUAAGAUGGGGCCCCAGGGUAUCUGUAAAGCUCUCUGAAAUUGUAUAUAAAAAAUUUCUGUCUAUGUGAACAUUCGUAUUUUUUUGUAACAUGCAUUUUUUCAUAACUCUUUUCAAAGGGGCCAAUGACCCAAAAAGAUUGCAAAUUAAUAGAAAAAGUGUGAAUUGUGGAUUUGGAGAGAAUUAACUUCAAAUUUGUAAUUUCCUAGUUGUGGGAACUUGAGUGAGUUACUUAAAUCAUUUGAGAUUCAUUUAUUUAUUUUUUUAAAUAUAAAAUGGGAAUAAUAAUGUCUUCCUUUUUAGAAUUAUUAUGUAUCUUAAAGUAAUAUGUAAGUACCUCACAUAAUAUCUAGCACAUACUAGACUAUGAAUGGUAGCUACUAUAUAUGGUACAUAUAUCAUCACAUAAAUAGAUAUUCUGGAAUCCCAGCUUCUCCUAAUACUUUUUUUUCAGGGGGGAGGGAAAGACCCUCAAUUUUGUACUCAAGUGGGUGUAAACUACAUAUGAUGGUCUAAUUCUUCUUAUCAUUGACUCUUUCAGACAAUCCCACAAUUGACAACUAAAAGGAAUUCUGGGGACAUACUGGAUAGAUGUUCCUUCUUGACAAAAGCUGAAUAAAGUAUUUCAGCCAACUAUUUCAAUGUUAGAUCAAUAGUUGGUUCAACCAAGGCGGACAGCCUUACGCAGUCAACAUCCUGGAGAGAUAGGAGACAUACUGAGAUGAGCCCCAUCUGCCUCUGCUUGUACCUAUUUAUGAAUCCCUGGGUGAUACAAAUGGUAAACACGCUUAGCUACAAACUGGAUGAUUGGAGGUUCCAGUCCACUCAGAGGUGCCUCACAGGAAAGGCAUGGUAAUCUACUUCCAAAAAACCAGCCUCUGAAAACCCUACGGAGCACGGUUCUGCUCUGACACACAUGGGGUUGCCAUGAGUGGGAAUCAACCAGUUUGGCAACUAGUUACCUAUUUAUGGUAUGGGAGUAGAGCACAAAGUGACAGCUGAGGAUUGGGGUAAUCUCAUUGGAUUUAGGAGGAAAAGGUUGGAGUUUGGAAUUGCCAAAGAGACCUGGACUUGAGAGGAAGAUGAAACCACAGGGAAGUUGGCCCAUCAUUUUGUGUGUCAUUUCCCUCAUACAUCUGGCAAUUCCUAAACAGUGAAUGUACAGAGCGAGAUUUCCCGAAAGCAGCUGCUGGGAGCUAAAGAGCUGUGCAGAGAUUUACACUAUCUUAUGGUGAUGAGGGGACAAAGACUGAAGCAGGGGGCCUAACAAGAUGGCAGCCCCUGGUACAAAUCCCUGACUUUCAGCUGAGGCCCCAGAGAAUUUUACUUUGGGAGUAAGAACAGGACAUAAAAAGACCAAACCUAAUAAAGCCUAAGAUUCACCAUCAACUGGAUGAAGUUGAUCUGAAAAUACUCUUCCUGCCAGGGGGAAAAAAAAAAAUCAAAUCCUCUUUGGAUGUGAACAUCAUCAGCCAGAGCCUCUGCAACUUUUCAUAUACAGUGUCUGCAAUCCAGUAAAACAUUUGCAAACAUAUCAACAAAUGGCACCAAAUGACCAAAAACCAAAUGAAGAAACAGACAA